ACAAAGGCUCUUUUCAGAGCCACCACGAAGCAAUUGCUGGAGUUC
rfam:Otolemur garnettii contig184442, whole genome shotgun sequence.